rnacentral:misc_RNA from 1 species
ACCCUUUGCUUUGAUUGGAUGCUUCAUCCACUACGACGAACGGUGAAAAGUUUUUCUCUUGUGUAAAUUUGCAGAAUUUCUGGGGGAGGUGCGAACAGUCGUUUGAGAUAAUCUCGAUUUUCCUUCAAUUUAAAUUGAAGCAUUUUUUUAUACAAGAAAAUUACUUCAAACACACAGCAGCAAUACAAACAACUAUAGUUCCACGCUAAUAAAGAAUAAAUAAAAUAAAAAAAAACCAAAAAAUUUCAAUUGAACGACGAAAUCAAUUAACGAUUUUAAACAUUUAAUCAAAAACCCUAACUCAUCUACAAACAAAAAAAUAAUGGCGCACAUUGGACGUACAGUUAAAAAUGUUGAGGCGCCACGCCCAUUAAAAUCACAAUCACGCUCAUCACUGAAAAACAACUACAUGCUGAUCGAGGAGCUCAUACAAUUGAUUGAGAAUGUCGCGUUGACUCUACAAUCGGGCAUAAACAAUACGGAACCGAUGGCUGCGCUAGUGCAAAAUUUACGCAUACACGGACCACAAUUGGAAACUGUAUCUAAAGAUACAUUAGACCGUGCAUUCGUUGUGUUCCGCAAUGCUUCGCAGGACGAACGCUUAAAUAUUAUGACGAGACUGAAUUUGCUCGAAUUGAUAGAGUUGCGCGCCAAAGGCUGGGAAGACAAUGGCUUCAAUUCGUACUACAAAACCAAACAAGUAACGAACAUCGAUCUAACCGAUGGACAUAUUGAUCCAACGCAAACCGGGUUCCUAAGCACCUCCCCCACAUUUGGUGGGGCUGGCGCGGCUGCGGCAGCAGCUAUAGCAGCUGUUGGUUCGGCGCAGCAAACACAACUACUAUUGGCACCGGGUGAGGUCAUACGAAAUUCGGGAAAGUUUCCGAAACCAACUAAAAUACCAGGCAAAACUUAUUGCAAAGAUGAAGUGGUUAUACGCAAUGCAGAUUCGGGAAAAGUAAUGGGCAUUAAAGGCAGACGUGUCCAUAUGAUUGAGGAAUUAAGUGAAACGAUAAUUUCCUUCCAAAGAGUAAAUCCUGGCGCUAAGGAACGUUUGGUGCAAAUAACGGGACCGACUGAAGAAAAAAUCAACUAUGCCAAACAACUCAUCGAGGAUACCAUACGUCGCAAUGCCUCACCUGUACGUCUCGAUCCAAUUAUUAGUAGCGGUCAUGCUGGUGGCGGCGGCGGUGGCUCUUGUUCUUCCCUAGCGUCUUCCAAUUCUGAUGAUGCCGUUACGCCACGUACACCAGGCGCUGGUGGUGCUGCCACAAGCAGCCUAGCUAAUCGUCUAAGCUUCAAUUCAGCGCAAAAUUUCAUGACUGGCUCUGCGGCAGCGGCGGCAGCAGCAGCAGCCGCUGCUGCACAACAGCAACAGGUCAUGAAUAUGAUGGGUGCCGUCGUUGGUAGCACUUCCACACCUACGGCUGUUGCCGCAGCUGCAGCUGCUGGUAAAGUGUUGCGUCCAAAUCAGCAAAUGUUAUUGCAUUCAUUUUCCACCAAUGAUGCUUCUUUAGGUGAAUACAAAUACACGGUGAACGUGGGACAGCAUCUGAUAAAAAUCACCGGCGAUUGUUGUGACCUUGUGCGGGUUGCAAAAUUAGUGCUGGAUGAUUACUUUAGCAGCGCGGAGUUCUUAGCUUCAGUGGAGGCUGGCGCCGCAUUUGAUGGCAGCAUUGUCAGUCCGAUUUCAACACCGUCCACGCCUAUGACUGCACCACAGUUCAUGAUGGGUACACCCUUGCACGCUGCACCACCGCUGGCAGAUAGCGGAAUCGGCUUAAAUUAUAUGGCCGCACAGGCUGCCAAUAGCGGUGUACAUGAUGGCGAUGAUGAAGUAUUUGCUGAUACAAAUGCUGCCGGUCAAAGCAAUGGCUUAUCGCGUUCACGUAGAAGUCACUUUUCCCGUAAAGACUCUACACCAGAAUCAGCAGCUAACUCAACAGCAGCACGUGGCAAAAAUGAUAACACCACUGCCGGCGCCGCCAGCGGCGAUACGCCACGAAUUGUACACGAAUACGAGCAUUUGCUUUACUAUGCGAAGAGUCCCCAUUCCUGGGCACUGCCAGAGGAGUGGCAGAAAAUCUGCGAAAAGUUCCCAGCCAUCGUACGCAAUAAGCCAUCACCACCACCACCUCCAUCAUAACCACGCUUCAUCGUCACGCUUAAGCCAAUAAGAAAACUUAACUAUUAUCCUAAAUUUAAGGAUUUGGCAGAUGAGAGUAAUCGUUUCGAUGGUGAAAAAUAUUUGGAAUUGGUUAAAUCGGUGAGCAAACGAAAUAUCGCUUCGGCCA